rnacentral:rRNA from 1 species
CCUACGGGGGGCUGCAGUAGGGAAUAUUGCUCAAUGGGGGAAACCCUGAAGCAGCAACGCCGCGUGGAGGAUGAAGGUUUUCGGAUUGUAAACUCCUUUUGUUAGAGAAGAUAAUGACGGUAUCUAACGAAUAAGCACCGGCUAACUCCGUGCCAGCAGCCGCGGUAAUACGGAGGGUGCAAGCGUUACUCGGAAUCACUGGGCGUAAGGAGCGCGUAGGCGGGAUAGCAAGUCAGAUGUGAAAUCCUAUGGCUUAACCAUAUAACUGCAUUUGAAACUGUUAUUCUAGAGUAUGGGAGAGGUAGGUGGAAUUCUUGGUGUAGGGGUAAAAUCCGUAGAGAUCAAGAGGAAUACUCAUUGCGAAGGCGACCUGCUAGAACAUAACUGACGCUGAUGCGCGAAAGCGUGGGGAGCAAACAGGAUUAGAUACCCUAGUAGUC